rnacentral:rRNA from 1 species
CAGCUCGUGUCGUGAGAUGUUGGGUUAAGUCCCGCAACGAGCGCAACCCUCGUUCCAUGUUGCCAGCGCGCGGUGUCUGACACUGUGGCGGGGACUCAUGGGAGACUGCCGGGGUCAACUCGGAGGAAGGUGGGGAUGACGUCAAGUCAUCAUGCCCCUUAUGUCCAGGGCUUCACACAUGCUACAAUGGCUCAUACAGAGGGCUGCGAGACCGCGAGGUGGAGCGAAUCCCUUAAAGUGAGUCUCAGUUCGGAUUGGGGUCUGCAACUCGACCCCAUGAAGUCGGAGUCGCUAGUAAUCGCAGAUCAGCAACGCUGCGGUGAAUACGUUCCCGGGCCUUGUACACACCGCCCGUCACGUCAUGAAAGUCGGUAACACCCGAAGCCAGUGGCCUAACCCUUGUGGGGGGAGCUGUCGAAGGUGGGAUCGGCGAUUGGGACGAAGUCGUAACAAGGUAGCCGUACCGGAAGGUGCGGCUGGAUCACCUCCUUU